AAUGAACGCUGGCGGCAGGCCUAACACAUGCAAGUCGAGCGGGGCGGCGUACGGGUGAGUAAUGCCUAGGAAUCUGCCUGGAAGUGGGGGAUCACGUCCGGAAACGGGCGCUAAUACCGCAUACUAUCAGAUGAGCCUAGGUCGGAUUAGCUAGGUGGUGGGGGAAAGGCCUACCAAGGCGACGAACCGUAACUGGUCUGAGAGGAUGAUCAGUCACACGGGAACGGAGACACGGUCCAGACUCCUACGCGAGGCAGCAGUGGGGAAUAUUGCACGAUGGGCCAAAGCCUGAUCCAGCCAUGCGGCGUGUGUGAUGAAGGUCUUCGGAUUGUAAAGCACUUUAAGUUGUGAGGCGUUACCAACAGAAUAAGCACCGGCUAACUUCGUGCCAGCAGCCGCAGUAAUUC
rnacentral:rRNA from 1 species